GCUGGGUGGCUCUAACCUCAUAGAAAGAUAUAAAUACACAGAGAAGAUGAGCAUGGCCCUUGAGCAAGGAUGACAUGCAAAUUCAUGAAAGAUGUAAAUACAGA